rnacentral:rRNA from 1 species
AGCGAACGCUGGCGGCAGGCCUAACACAUGCAAGUCGAACGAACUCUUCGGAGUUAGUGGCGGACGGGUGAGUAACACGUGGGAACGUGCCUUUAGGUUCGGAAUAACUCAGGGAAACUUGUGCUCAUACGGAAUGUGCCCUUCGGGGGAAAGAUUAAUCGCCUUUAGAGCGGCCCGCGUCUGAGUAGCUACAUGGUGAGGUAACGGCUCACCAAGGCGACGAUCAGUAGCUGGUCUGGGAGGAUGACCAGCCACACUGGGACGGUGACUCGGUCAAGACUCCGCCGUGAGGCAGCAGUGGGGAAUCUGGCGCAAUGGGCGAACGGCUGACUCAUCCAUGCCUCGUGAAUGAUUACGGUCUUAGGAUUGUAAAAGUCUUUCACCGGUCGGUGAUGACGGUACGCGGAGAAUAAGCCCCGGCUCACCUCGUGCCAGCCGCCGCGGUAAAAC